GACGAACGCUGGCGGCGUGCCUAAUACAUGCAAGUAGAACGCUGAAGGAGGAGCUUGCUUCUCCGGAUGAGUUGCGAAAGGGUGAGUAACGCGUAGGUAACCUGCCUGGUAGCGGGGGAUAACUAUUGGAAACGAUAGCUAAUACCGCAUAACAGUAGAUAUUGCAUGAUAUCUGCUUGAAAGGUGAAAUUGCAUCACUACCAGAUGGACCUGCGUUGUAUUAGCUAGUUGGUGGGGUAACGGCUCAACAAGGCGACGAUACAGAGCCGACCUGAGAGGGGAAUAGGCCACUCUGGGACUAAGACACGACCCAGACUCCUAGGAGAGGCAGAAGUAGGAAAUCUUUGGUGGUGGACGGAAGUCUGACCGAUCAACGCCGCGUGAGUGAAGAAUGUUUUCGGAUCGUAAAGAUCUGUUGUAAGAGAAGAACGAGUGUGAGAGUGGAAAGUUCACACUGUGACAGUAUCUUACCAGAAAGCGACGGCUAACUACGUG
rnacentral:rRNA from 1 species